UACGGGGGGAGCAAGCGUUGUUCGGAUUUACUGGGCGUAAAGGGCGCGUAGGCGGCCACCGCAAGUCGGUUGUGAAAUCUCCGGGCUUAACCCGGAAAGGUCAAUCGAUACUGCGGGGCUAGAGUGCAGAAGGGGCAACUGGAAUUCUCGGUGUAGCGGUGAAAUGCGUAGAUAUCUGGAGGAACAUCAGUGGCGAAAGCGACCUCCUGGACCAAUACUGACGCUCAUGUGCGAAAGCGUGGGGAGCAAACAGG
rnacentral:rRNA from 1 species